UACAGAGGGUGCGAGCGUUAAUCGGAAUUACUGGGCGUAAAGCGUGCGUAGACGGUUACGUAAGUCAGGCGUGAAAUUCCUGGGCUUAACCUGGGGGCUGCGCUUGAGACUGUGGGACUUGAGGUCAGAAGAGGGUCGUGGAAUUCCCAGUGUAGAGGUGAAAUUCGUAGAUAUCAAGCGGAACACCGGUGGCGAAGGCGGCCUUCUGGACAGUAACUGACGCUGAGACGCGAAAGCGUGGGGAGCAAACAGG
rnacentral:rRNA from 1 species